ensembl:lncRNA
GAUUGCCCGCCUGUGUCCCAUCUGCCUCACCUGCUCUGCUCAGAUUCCUUGAGGGCAAAAACCCUGGAGUUUUCCCUUCAUGUCACCAAUACCUUUGCAGUCCAAAAACAUUUGAAUGAUUUGCAAGGGUUUAAUCAUCUACCAAGGUACUGCCUAAAGCAUAGGAAUCUGUUUUCCAGUUGCAGGUGGUCGUCGGGCCUCAGUAGAGAGAGCUGCUCACAGGAGCCGUUUGCAGAUCCUCUCUGGGGAAGAAAACCACCAAGGGGGGCUCCUGGCCCCUGAUAUCCUCCGCCUUCACGCUCUUGUCCCUGCGCUGAGAGUUGCUGUUGUUCAGUCCCUCAGUCGUGUCCGACUCUUUGCGACCCGGUGGCCUGCAGCCUGCCAGGAUCCUCUGUCCAUGGAAUUUCCCAGAUAGGUCUCAUGAUGACAAAAAAGAAAAGAAGAAAGACUCGUGGGUCAACCACGGAGGAUGCUAUGACAUAGUUAGAAAUGGGUAUUUGGUCCCUGCCCCAGCUUCUAGGCACAGAGCUCCUAAAACACUUGGAGUUUCUGGAGUAUUAGGGUAAAACAAGAGACAGCCCAGCUGAGAGUGAAGGGGCCCUGCAGCCUCAGAGCAUCACAGGGCUGCAGCCUCCAGUGAAGUCGUGGAUGUGAGCGAAGAUCAUCAGUCGCUGCAAAAGGCAUCAGGUGAAGACACGGACAGCACUUCCUCACACAUGAGUCAGCCUGGCAGGGCCCGAAGCCACUGAACAAUCCCAGUGUCGCAGAGUCGUCUGUUCCGUGCUUCCCAGCGGAAGUACAGGAGACCACUGACUGACACGGUGUCCGUGCCGGAUAAAGGAGCCUAAAGGACUGAGCCUCUGGAUGUAUCAUUUCCAGAAGAUAUAAGAGACAGAGGAGGAGGCUUUUAAACAGCCCCAGCCGGUGGUGUACAAUUACCAAAAUUCAGACUGUGGAAAAACUUACAGGGAAAAAAUGACAAAUACAUUUCGGGGGAAAGAAAGUGAGAUCGACAGAAACAGAGGAGGAAGCCAUGCUCUAGAAGAGGCGAAUAAAUUAAAUGUAAAGUGUGACCCUUUCUUGACUCUUGACUUAAACAAACUGGUCUUAAAAAAAAAUUCAAGAACUGCCAAGAAGACUCUCUUCUACAGGCAAAAACAGGCUCACAAGCCCCACCCAUUCUCUCUGACUUUUUUUUUUUUUGCAUAAAUCAUGUAAUUAAAGAGCUGCACCUUUUAUUUAAACCUUCUUGCCCAGAGUUAACACCCUUUAAACCUCAUCAAUCACUGAUUCUCAGAUGGCUGGGACUAUGAGCUUGUUUCCCA